GCGGAGGAAAAGAAACUAACAAGGAUUCCCAUAGUAACGGCGAGUGAAUUGGGAAAAGCCCAGCGCUGAAUCUCUUAAUCAAACGAUUAUUGAGAACUGUAGCGUAUAGAAGUGAUUGUUUCAAUAAAUAUUUGCUCUCUUAAGUUUCUAUUAGUGGGGCACCCAUAGAGAGUGAUAGGCUCAUAAAGAUAGCAAUUUUAUUGAAAAUUUUUUACUUCUCGGAGUCGAGUUGCCUGGGAACGCAGCUCAAAGAUUGGUGGUAAACCUCAUCAAAGGCUAAAUAUGACUAUGAGACCGAUAGCAAACAAGUACCGUGAGGGAAAGUUGCAAAGAACUUUGAAGAGAGAGUUCAAGAGAACGUGAAACCGCUGAGAAGGAAGCGGAUAGAGUUAACGAUAUAACAAUGACAUUCAACCAAUUAAUUUGCUAUUUAUUAUUAUAUAAUUGUGUAGCUUAAUAUUUUUUCUAUUAAGCCAAUUAUAUAAUAACUGCUUUUUGAAUAGUAUUAAUCGGUGGUUUUGUCAUUGUUUAAUGGCGCUGAAAUGUUUAUUGUGAUAUGUUAACGUUGAUUUUUAAAGAGGACUACGUUACUUUAGUAAUGUAGAAACCUUUAACAAUUGAGGCAUAUUCAACGAUAAAUUUAUAUUCAAUAUAUUUAUUAUCGCAUGCAUUCUCUAAUUUGUGUAAUAAUCUAUUGAUAUGUAUUUUAACUAUAUUCACUAUAUAGUAUGGCAUGUUACAUAUCUAUAUAGCUUUGUAAUAUAGUUUCAAUAGAUUUUU
rnacentral:rRNA from 1 species